AGCUACCUGGCCAGAGCCACAGGCUGUGUUCUUAUACAGACUGCACAGAAAGAGAAGGCCAAGUAAACCUACCCCACAUACACACCUCAGCCUGGGCCCUUUGCCUAGUCUGUAUUGUGAAUGGGGGGACAUGG